GUGCUUGCUUCAGCAGUACAUAUGCCAAAAUUGGAACAAUACAGAGAAGAUUAGCAUAGCUCCUGUGCAAAGAUGACACAAAAAUUCAUGCAGCAUUCCAUUUUUUA